UGUGAUGGAUAUUGUUGACAACCCAGGCAC
rnacentral:piRNA from 1 species